UAGGGUGACAAGAAGAUGGAUGAUAUUGAUCGAGUGAAGAGUUUUGGAGUAGAAACCAGAGGAUAAGCAUCCAGAAAACUAGGAUAAAAAAUAUUCGAGGACUCAGAACCCUCAGAGUUGAGAAAGGAGGCCAAAAAUUACAACUCCACAUGGGACUGGUCUUUAUGAGAGGAAGCACUUCUUCACUUUAAACCGACCACUUACAAAAGUAGCAGGUGAAGGUUUCUCUGUGGACUGGGCGACAGAUAGGAGGACCAGAAUAAGUGGUUAACUUGGAUUGACCUUCUGAACAGCUGCCCCAUUAAACUUCAGAGACAGCACAUCCCCAUUGCUGCAAUCAAGUGACUACAGCUGGUACUGUCCUUACAAAUUUAAGCUGCAGAAGCACUUUAAAGAGGCGAAUAACCCUCUUUGGGGUCUGAAUCGCCAAAAUGUGUGAUGCUUUUACAUGAAUAAUAUUGUCAUUUGAAAUAUAAACUUUAUUUCUUUGCACUUUGAAACAAAGUGAAGCUAGUUAUCUUGAUUUUGCUUCUCUUAUUUCUUGAAACUCUGCCAAUAUAUCAGCAAAAGAAAAGAGAUGCAUUGACAGUUCUGUAUUAUAAAAUGCAUAAGUAAAACAUUUUGAUGCCACAGAAGUUUAAAUUA
rnacentral:lncRNA from 12 species